rnacentral:rRNA from 1 species
AACGAACGCUGGCGGCAUGCCUAACACAUGCAAGUCGAACGAGACCUUCGGGUCUAGUGGCGCACGGGUGCGUAACGCGUGGGAACCUGCCCUUAGGUUCGGAAUAACUCCCCGAAAGGGGUGCUAAUACCGGAUAAUGUCUUCGGACCAAAGAUUUAUCGCCUUUGGAUGGGCCCGCGUUGGAUUAGCUAGUUGGUAGGGUAAAAGCCUACCAAGGCGACGAUCCAUAGCUGGUCUGAGAGGAUGAUCAGCCACACUGGGACUGAGACACGGCCCAGACUCCUACGGGAGGCAGCAGUGGGGAAUAUUGGACAAUGGGCGAAAGCCUGAUCCAGCAAUGCCGCGUGAGUGAUGAAGGCCUUAGGGUUGUAAAGCUCUUUUACCCGGGAUGAUAAUGACAGUACCGGGAGAAUAAGCGCCGGUUAACUCCGUG